AAUCAACGCUGGCGGCGUGCCUAACACAUGCAAGUCGAACGAGAAAGGGGAGCAAUCCCUGAGUAAAGUGGCGCACGGGUGAGUAACACGUGACUAACCUACCCUGGAGUGGGGGAUAACUGAGGGAAACCUUAGCUAAUACCGCAUAACACCUACGGGUCAAAGGAGCAAUUCGCUUUGGGAGGGGGUCGCGGCCGAUUAGUUAGUUGGCGGGGUAAUGGCCCACCAAGACGAUGAUCGGUAUCCGGCCUGAGAGGGCGCACGGACACACUGGAACUGAAACACGGUCCAGACUCCUACGGGAGGCAGCAGUGGGGAAUUUUGCGCAAUGGGGGAAACCCUGACGCAGCAACGCCGCGUGGAGGAUGAAGUCCUUCGGGACGUAAACUCCUUUCGAUCGGGACGAUAAUGACGGUACCGGAAGAAGAAGCCCCGGCUAACUUCGUGCCAGCAGCCGCGGUAAUACGAGGGGGGCGAGCGUUGUUCGGAAUUAUUGGGCGUAAAGGGUGCGUAGGCGGUUUGGUAAGUCUGAUGUGAAAUCUAUGGGCUCAACUCAUAGUCUGCAUCGGAAACUGCCG
rnacentral:rRNA from 1 species